GUGCUCAUUUUGUCAACACAUAUAUUGGCAUUGGAAUGAUACAGAGAAGAUUAGCAUAAUCCCUGUUCAAGGAUGUCAUGUAAAUUCAUGAAAGAUAAAAAGAAAAU